CCUACGGGAGGCAGCAGUGGGGAAUAUUGGACAAUGGGGGGAACCCUUAUCCAGCGACGCCGCGUGAGGGAAUAAGGUUCUCGGAUUGUAAACCUCUGUCAGUGGGGACGAUAAUGCCGGUACCCACGGAGGAAGCCACGGCUAACUACGUGCCAGCAGCCGCGGUAAUACGUAGGGAGCGAGCGUUGUCCGGAAUUACUGGGUGUAAAGGGAGCGUAGGCGGGGAUGCAAGUUGGGUGUUAAAUCUACCGGCUCAACUGGUAGUCGCACUCAAAACUGCAGCUCUUGAGUGAAGUAGAGGCAGGCGGAAUUCCUAGUGUAGCGGUGAAAUGCGUAGAUAUUAGGAGGAACACCAGUGGCGAAGGCGGCCUGCUGGGCUUUUACUGACGCUGAGGCUCGAAAGUGUGGGGAGCAAACAGGAUUAGAUACCCUAGUAGUC
rnacentral:rRNA from 1 species